GUUUGAGACCGAGGGAGGCUCGACCACAGCACCAGUAACCUUGUCUGAUGUGAUCAUUAACCUUUCUGGAAAAUGCAGCUGGCAGUUCUCUGAGGCUCGUCAUUAGAAUGUGAGGAAAGCCACACAGAUAUUGCCCAGACUAUUCAAAGAUUGUUUGGUUUACACUGAGAGCUAUUGCUCCGCUUCCGUGCGGCAGAAAAAUGAGGUUGCAACAAUUCUUUUGUGUAUUUUUUAUUUUUGUGAUGAGUCUUCUUCUUAUCAACGGACAGAGACCAGCUAAUUUGGCAUUGAGAAGAAAAUUGCACAGACACAACUGCCUUCAGAGGAGAUGUAUGCCACUCCAUUCACGGGUGCCCUUCCCCUGAGGGGAUAAGAAAGAAUCAAGACUGGCUUGCAUGGAUUCAAGCUCUGGCCACAAGCUCGUUCAGUGGUCAUUGAUCUUAAGCUAACUUCACCUGGUUUGCCAGAAGAGGAGUGAAUAAAAGAUACCCACCCACACCAUAGUGUGAUUGCUUAGAAGCUCCUGUACAAAAAGGAAUCAUUUGAAAGCACCUGCGAUGGUUUCUUAGUUUUACAGGAUUCUCUUUUUCCUGGUUUCUCUUUAGAGGGGAAAAUAACAUAAAUUCAAAAACAAUUCCAAUCCGAAGCACAGUUAUUUGCUUAUAUAACAAAAUCUCUCAUCUUUUUCUGUAUAUUACUAUUCUUAGAUGAGUUAAAAAGAAAUAUACUUUUUAAUGUCUUAGAACUCUGUAAUAAUCAAAAGUACAAGAAUUAAAAUUUUUCUUUCAUAUUCCUCUAAUUCUCCAAAAUUAAAAUAAGUGUUUAUAUGUUUGAGUGAUUUUUUCCAAAAAUGCUAAAUCUGAGAUAAAAUGCAUUGGUCAUUUGGCUUUACAGAAUAGGGAUAAAUUAAUUGGUUCAUCGAUUCUUUAUAUAGAGAGACUAAGAAAGAAGCCACCGACUGCUACCAAUUUUAAAUUAUAGGCUUUAAUGCUUAUGAAAGUAUUUUUUAUUUUAAAUAAUAUUCAUAAAGUCGUAAAGAAAGUUUUAAAAACUAACUGAAAUGAUCAUUUCUGAAUCUAUUUCUCAUUAUGUAAUUAUAAGAAGCCAAUGUUUGAUUUCCUUUGAAGUUCUGUUAGAUCUUUCCAAGUUGUUAGAUACACUCUUAAUUUGUAUUCAUUGAAAAGAUCACUCAAUUCCAUAAGGUUUUUAUUUUAUUGUAAGUUAAUUCCAGGUAUGAAAUUUACAAAUUCUUUUCUUGAUUAGAAAUUUUGCUUUGUAAACAUUAUAGAGUAGGAGAAGCCAUAAGCCAUUAACCCUUAUUUUGCUAAAAUAAAUUUGGGAUUGGUAUACUCUAAAGAAUUUGAGACAGAAAUUCUGAAAUCACAGUUUGUCUCCCUUUCACAGUUUAUUAAUGGCAUCUUUUGGGAUGAAAAGUAUUUAUAGAAAGAACUGUAACUAACUUUAAACACUAAAGAUGUUUUAUGAAAUGUG